UACGAAGGGGGCUAGCGUUGCUCGGAAUCACUGGGCGUAAAGCGCACGUAGGCGGCUUUUUAAGUCAGGGGUGAAAUCCUGGAGCUCAACUCCAGAACUGCCUUUGAUACUGAGAGGCUCGAGUCCGGGAGAGGUGAGUGGAACUGCGAGUGUAGAGGUGAAAUUCGUAGAUAUUCGCAAGAACAUCAGUGGCGAAGGCGGCCUGCUGGGCUGUUGCUGACGCUGAGGCGCGACAGCGUGGGGAGCAAACAGG
rnacentral:rRNA from 1 species